CUCUCCCUUUGGCUGGCCAGCCAUGUGGGAGAGCUGAUCCCAAGACAAUAGGAGAUGAGAAACAACUAGAUGGCUGUAAGGGGACAGACCCUGGACCAGAAAUCCUCCCAUCUGUUGGAUAAACAGGGGCUUCUUUUACUUUAGGCAGAUGGAGGGGAUGAGAGAGUUGUAGCUACUAAUUCAAGGUGACAUAAAACAGCAGAGAGGUCCAACAGAGGUUACACGGAAAAGCAAAAGCAAGCAGACAAGGAGGAACUCAGCACAUUAACUCU